rnacentral:rRNA from 1 species
AGCGAACGCUGGCGGCAGGCCUAACACAUGCAAGUCGAACGAACGCUUCGGAGGUGGUUGCGCACGGGGGAGUAACACGUGGGAACGGGCGGUUAUGUUCGGAAUAACUCAGGGAAACGUGUGCUAAUACCGAAUGUAUUCUUCUGAUGAAAGAUUCAUCGCCAUGAUAGAGGCCCGCGUCUGAUUAGCUGGUUGCGGAGGUAACAGCUCAUCAAGGCUACGAUCAGUAGCGGGUAUGAGAGGAUGACCAGCCACACUGGGACUGAGACACGGCCCAGACUCCUGCGGGAGGCAGCAGUGGGGAAUCUUGCGCAACGGGCGAGAGCCUGACGCAGCCAUGCUGCGUGAAUGAUGAAGGUCUUAGGAUUGUAAAGUUCUUUCACCGGGGACGAUACUGACGGUACCCGAAGAAGAAGCCCCGGCUAACUUCGUG